CAACCUCCUCUUCACAGUGCGCAGCUCCUGCUGAGCCUCACACUUGAUGUCGUUGGCCACUACCACUGCAGUCUGUAAGUCUGCCUGGAAUCGCCUCCAUUCUUCUGUUUCCUCCUGAAAAGGACAGACUCCACGUUACCUCAGACACUAGCUUCAACAUCAGUGAAGAUGUGUCACUGUGCAUAACCGGCAUUUCCCCAGCGCAUCAAAGAAGCCUAGUGUUAGGAUGGAAGAACGACCGUCUCCUCUGUGUGGAUAUCCUGGACUGCUGUCUGACACUGAACUCAUGUUCACCAUCACGAAAGCUCAGGCCUGACCAAUGUUAUCUAACACACCUAUUUCUAUAGAUACCAUCACAGCCUUCUGCACCUAGGGACAGUAGACAGCACUUCAGCAUCGUAUCUGGGAGCAUUUCAAAUAAAAACCAUGAAAAAAA